UACGUAGGGGGCAAGCGUUGUCCGGAAUUAUUGGGCGUAAAGAGCGCGUAGGCGGUCCGAUAAGUCGGCUGUGAAAGUCAAGGGCUCAACCCUUGAAAGCCGGCCGAUACUGUCGGACUAGAGUCCGGAAGAGGCGAGUGGAAUUCCCGGUGUAGCGGUGAAAUGCGCAGAUAUCGGGAGGAACACCAAUGGCGAAGGCAGCUCGCUGGGCCGAUACUGACGCUGAGGAGCGAAAGCGUGGGGAGCGAACAGG
rnacentral:rRNA from 1 species